rnacentral:rRNA from 1 species
GGGUCAGUAGGUUGGUCGUGCCACCGGUACGUACUGGUCUCACUGAUUCCUCCUUCCUGAAUAACCGUAAUGCCAUUAAUUUGGUGUUGCGGGGAAACAGGACUGUUACUUUGAAAAAAUUAGAGUGUUUAAAGCAAGAUAACGCUUGAAUACAUUAGCAUGGAAUAAUGAAAUAGGACGAUCGAUCCUAUUUUGUUGGUUUCUAGGAUUGACGUA